UCGUGCAAAACAAAUAACAAGGGUUAGUUUCAUGUAAUUUUUAUUAUGUUUUUAUUAACAUAUAAUAGGGUUGAUGUCAACUACGAAACUUUUUGUCCACUACGAAACGCAUCAAAAUGUCCACUACGUAACAUGAGUUGAACCUUCAUAUGUGAAGUACUGUCUAAUCUUUAUCGAUAAAAAUGAUUUUCUAAUUCAGAAAAAAAUGAUAUUUUUCUAGUAUUUAAAGUAAACAAACUGGAAUGUCUAUAGGAAACAUUUAAAAU
rnacentral:lncRNA from 1 species